rnacentral:lncRNA from 1 species
CACAGUGUUAAUUAGUAGUACUUAAUUGUAUAAUUUUACUGUAAAAAUCACAAAUUAAAGUGUAACCAGGUGGCAUUUGUAAUUAGUCUCACUGCAACCACAGUUAAUUGUGUUUCCCUUGACGGCAGAGUGACAGUGUCUUCAGUGAUGCUCCUCCCACACCGGCCAUGUCCACUCCCAGAAGCACCCCUAUGCCGCCCCAUCUGGACGAGACCACAGUGAGCAUUGAGCUUCCUCCUAGAGUACACAGUGGGAGCUUUAUGCUGGAGGAGGCCCUAAUGGACUCCCGCCCGGCCUCUGCCCUCUCCGAAAACACAGUGAUAAGUGAACAGCCUCAGAGUUUGUCUCCCCUGCUCAGCAGGUGGGCCUCCAGUCACAGCAAACUCACCCCAUUGUGGAUACUGAAUAACAACCAAAGGACUGACACAACCAGAGCUUGUGACUAUAUCCCUUCCCCAUCCUCGGAUGGAGGAAUGCAAAAUGGAGGAGUCACAGGAGGAGUCAUCACUCCGGGAGGAGUCACAGGAGGAGUCAUCACUCCGGGAGGAGUCACAGGAGGAGUCAUCACUCCGGGAGGAGUCACAGGAGGAGUCAUCACUCCGGGAGGAGUCACAGGAGGAGUCAUCACUCCGGGAGGAGUCACAGGAGUCAUCAUCACUCUGGGAGGAGUCACAGGAGGAGUCACAGGUGGAGGUGAAGGAGUCACAGGAGGAGAAGGGGGAGUGAUGGGAGGAGGAGUCACAGCGAUGCCAUAUCCUACAGAGCAAGGCGGUGUCAGCAAGGAGGAGCCUCAGUGUGCAGUCUCAAAUGAUAGGUGAGCACAACAUGUUUGACUACCCAUAAUGCACCAAAACAAGCACUGUCAUGCAUUGAUAUGUAUACGUAGAUGCAUCAUUAUCGGCUGUUUCUAUGGGCCGUUGUUGUUGCUGCGUCCCAGUUCUCCUACUUAUACUAUGCCCUUAAAAUAUGUACUCUUUCUGUGUAGAAAAAGUACAUACUUUUGAGUAUGUAGCAGAAUAGUAUGCAAGCCUUGGGACAGACUACUUCGUCAUAACUGCGUCUUGCUUAGUUAUAUGCAUUAUAUUAUGUUAUAUGCAAUCCUCAUCCAACGCGCAAUGGGUUGUGGGCAAUAUCAGCCAUUGGUUAAGAGUGUGUACGGAUCAGCACUUUGAAUUUCUACCGGAAAUAGUAAACCUUUGGAAUACUCAUUUCAACAUACUAUGAUUUGGGACACACUAAUUCUAAUUUCAAAUACUAUUUAGGACAGAUAGUAUGCGAAUUGUGACGCAGCAAUUCAUUUUCACUGUGAGUGACGACACAAGACCGUUGCAAGAUGGCGGACACAUCGACGUGUCUGGAGCGGUUGAAUGUGGCAUCUACCUUUUCAUAUCUAUGCUGUCAAGGCCCUGAUAUACUUCAAGCAAAAUCAAAGAACAAUGUCAUUUCAAACAAAAUCAGAC